AAGAAAUGCACAUACUACUUUUUUAAAGCAAGAAUAAGUACAGACUUUUGAAGCCACAAUAUAUACAAUUUUAUGAGUGCAAUAAGCUUUCAAAUACAUUAGGUAUAUAUCCGUUUAAAUAAAUAGUAGAAUACUUGAUUUGACAUAUGUGAUAGUCAUACUGAUUACACCAAAAAUGUUUUACAAAAUAUAGCCAAAAAUGGAACGUUAUACAUUUUGAUAUACAACUCUUUAAAUACUUUAUAUAUUCAUUACUUACUUCAAAUUAUAGUGUACAAAAGUCCAUUUUAAUGAGGACAAGUUUUAAUUGUGUGUUUACCACUGUUGAGCAAAUAUAGGUAUUAAGAUGCAUCCCUGUAUGUUACUUAAAUUCCCAUUCAACUUAAAUCAUUUAUCACAGGGAGGAAAGAAUUCUACCAAUUUUUAACAGUAAUAAUUUUUAUUGAUAAAUUAUCCAUAUAACAUAUUUCAACAUUAUUUUGGCUAUUUAAAAUUUUCUAAAAUGUAUCACCUAGUUCUUGAGCCAAUUUUUUGUGUAAUUAAAACUUAAUUUGAAAUCAAAAUAGAAAUAUAUUGCUACAUUGAACUUCUUACCUGCUCUGCAACAUACAUAAUUUAAAUACCUUUAAUUAUCAAUUUUCAAUUGGGAAAAUUUCCCCUAUAAUUCUUUAAUAAUAAUGCUUUGUGUAGUGCCUAAGUAUCUCAAGAAUUCAUUUCACAAAGUACCAAUUUAAUAUACUGUACUGUAAGUGUUACCUAUAGAAUAGUAUUAUAAGAAAAUGUGAUUUCAAGGGUUUUACAUUUAUUAUUAUUCAUACAUUAUAGUACAACAAGUGAGAUCGUUUUCAGCCACAUUCAAUUAUUUUUUGCACAUAGUUACACAUGGCGAUUUAUUUGGGGUAUGUAAAAAUGUGGCUAUUUUUCAGAAAUAAAAUGGAAUAUAAAUUAUCAAGUUUUUUUUUUAAAUGGAAACAAUACUGUUAUUUUCUAUAGGAUCCUUUAAAAAGUGAAAGCAAGGAAACACAAACACACAUACCAACCUAUCUUGGUGUGGUGAGGUGAGGAGAAGGACCAUUCAACCAUCAUCUCCUAAAAAUUUCUUAGGCAAUAAUGAUUGAAAAAAUGUACUUUGCACUUAAAUAAUGAGCAAUAGGGUUAUCUGGCUCUGUCUACAAAAAUUACCUGGUAACAUUAGAAGAUGAUUAUAGAAUUACAUAUUAUUAUUGUUAUGUUUCACAUCUGGACCACAAAAGCAAUAUGAGAAAACCUAUUAUAAUGUGAACUGAAGUUGCAUUUUUAUAUUUUUUAAUAGAAUAUUAGAAUAUUACCACAUCUAAGAGCACAUCUAAUAACAAUAAAGACAACUUAAAUUCUCCUAAACCUCCCCAGUACCAACUGCCCACUGUUUUAAUGGAGCAGCACCACAUGUCAAGCACCCAGUCAAUCUCUAUAACUCACCAAGUUGCCUCUUAUUGGUCAGAAUGAAAAGCAUAUACACCUUCUGCAAGAAGUCAGGCGGCAUGAGGGAGGCUGAGUAGAGGACACAUACAAAUGCAGAUUUAUCUAUUUUUAGUGAGGGGCAUAAAACUGUAAAACAGGGGUUUUGCAUGGAGUAAGCAUGGCACCUUAUUUUUCAGUCAGAGAGAAAUGCCAUCAGAGCUAUUCACAUUCAAUUUAUGAGAGGAAGAAAUGGACUGAUGUAUAAGUGAGGGUGUUCAUUUUGUCCAUAUUUGCAUCAGGGUUGUAUGUGUGUGUGCUGUGUGUAUGUGAAUAUGUGAGUGUCUUGGUAUAUUUCCAAGGUAAUAAAGAGAUUAAAUAUAAUUCAGGUAACACGUGAUUGCCAAAGAGGAUCUUAUUUCUUGCCCUGCGAAAUGAACAGGAGUUAAUGAAGCAAAUCUCUAGGUUGUUUUGAUACAGGGUUUUAAGACCUUGAUGGUAGCAAAGCAGUAAUUCCUUUAACUGUAAAGUAUGUACACAUUUACACUAAAUAAGACAUAGCAGUCUUUUGACCAUUCUCUCACAAUGUUAGAAACUACAUAAUAAGAACUUCAAAUAUCCUUUAAUUCUUUCUUAAUUUUUGAAAUUAGAUAAAUAUAAACAAGCUUUCAUAAGCUGCAAUUAUUCUUAAAUUGGCUAACAAAUUUAUUGAAAGCUUAAAGACAAUCAUUUAAUUUUAUCUGCAUCUUGAACUCCUUCAUUAUGGUUAAUAGACUUUGUAAUUCUGUUUUAAUGCUGUCCUGUAUAUAAAAAAACUCUUUUACAAUCACCUUAAAUACAGCAUACUUAAGUUGCUGAUAUCUCUCUUUUCCAAAUAAUCAUCUUAAAUUUGGCAUACUCUUGACCCUUUUGGCUUUAAAAUCACUAUUUCAAGAGGUAACAAAAAAAACUAUGCUUUAAAAAAUAUUGUAAUUUACUAGAAUACCAUUGCCUAAGUGAGCUGGGUCUGUAAAGGUGAUACCAAAUAAGUCAUUUUAAUAUUGCUGUAGUUUACUUUUGCUAAUUCUUGCAUAGCUUUUAAACACAUUUUGUGGUUAAAGGAUAAAAUGCAUGCAAUUAAAGAAAAGAAGUCUACCUCUUCCAAUGAAUAGAUAUGAGAAAAUCACAUUGUAAAAAUCUAAAGAUUAAAACUCCUAUCACAAAUUAUGUAUAAAUAUGUGUAAGAGCUUACCAAAUUAAAGUCUAAGAACAGAAAUUUUAUUAAAGCACCUUUAUGGAAAUAAUCAAUUUGCAAUAAUGACAGUCAAGUUUUCAGAUAACUUGGAAAAAAACCGCCACAGUCUUAGUAGUAGAAAAUGUUGCCAUAAAUAUGAUAUGAUAGGUAAACUUUGUAGAAGAGAAAAAAAUAAAUAGUAGGCAUUAGGGCAGCUCAAUAUAUUGGGGUUAAAAAAUCUUAUUAAAACUUCAAAAAGACAUGGAAAAAAUAUUUUCCCCUCAGAGAUAUUUCAUAAAGCAAAAUGAGUAUGAUUACAUAUAAGGCUGGUUAUGUAUAUUUAUUUUUGCAUCUAAUCUGUUUUUCUUAUUGUGGAUACACACUAAGCACAAUUUUUCUCUAAACAGUUUUAAGAGAUAAAAGUGGCCACAAUUUUUGGAUAAAAUCAUACACUGCACACAGUACUGGCUUACUCAGUUGAAUAACUCCUCCUUAUUUGUGAAAAAUGAUGUAUAUAUUUGAUGAGAAAAAUUAUUAUGCCAGCUUUAGUUAGAUAGUUGUUUUCCAUUUCUCUUUUCAAUCAUUUUCUUGAAAUUCUAAAGGUGCAAAGUCUAGGAGCUGAUGCCCAUUUGCCUUGUCUACUACAUCACCUCAGAAAAAUCAUUACAGAAUUUUCACUUCACUUGUGUAAUGUUGUCCAGUUCCAUUAAUCCUCUCAUGUCAUUCCUCAACUGCCUAGAAUUGAUGUAUAUUAAUCCAUAAUUGUGGAGGUAGAAAACAAGUGCAUGCUGAAAAGCUUCUGCUUUCCUUAAGGCAGAAAUUUCCAAUGCUCAGACUAUUUAAUUUGGCUCUUGUAAUGUCCAUUUGGAUCCAGUCUGCCUGCCUGUCACAAUCACAACCAAUAGGCAUAAUGUCACUACAAAUUAUCACCAACAUCCAGAAUGUCAAUGCAAAAUUAAUUUUCUUUUUCACAAAACCUUGAAUGUUAGUCCCUGGAUAAAGGAAAACCCCAGCUAUACUUUAAGUCAUCUAGAAAGCUAAUUCAACACAUCACGUUAGGCCACUGUAUUCAUGUCUGUAUGACACAGUUUGGUUUUCAAAUCCCAACUGGGAAUUCUAUCAGAAGACUGUAAACCUAUAGUGAAACCAAAACAAUUUGGCACUCUUCCAUGAAAAUCUGCUAAAAAGAGAUUACUUAAAGUGUUGGCUUUUAUGUUUGGUCUAAUUAAAUAUGAGUUCCAUUGAAAAGAGUAUCUAUUAAAAAAUGCUUCUCUAAACAUGACUCUUUAAACAAAUGUACAGAUAAAAACUUCCUCAUAUCCUCACCACAAAUUGAUGCCUAUCUUUGCAUAUGCCAUGAGCUAAAAGUAAACCUGCCUGCAUGUCUUUGAGUUCAUGUCUAAGAAUUAUGCGUUUCCAAUAUAUUAUCUUAUAUUUUAACAAAGGAAACCCUGCUGUUCUAGUUUAUUGACAAAUUAACAGGUGAAUUUAACUUUCUCACAUCAAUGAUCUAUCUAAAAUAGUCCCUUCCCAAUUUCUCAUUGUCUGGUGAACAACAUAAACUCCACCUUCAGUCAACAUGUUGAAUACUGCUUUUUAAUUAGAGUAAUUGAAAUAUUUCUGCUUACUAUACUUAUCAGUAAGGGACUUCAAGAAAAAGCUGCUGCCUGAAAAUAGCUCUCAAACCAAGCUUUGGAAAAUAACUGAGUUCUCGCAAUAAAAAUGCAAGGUUCAGAAUUCUAAGUGUUUGUAAUUGAAAGUCAGUCUGCUUGUCUCAUAUCAAGAAACUCCUUUUGAACACAUAAAUCUUUUUUAUUUUCUAGGGAUAUUACGGAAUGUGUGUUCUAAAUAAGAACUGUACUCAUGAAAGUGAUUCCAUCAUCCAUAUGCACUACACAUAGUGGACAAAAAGGGUAGCAUAUCAUUCCGAGAAUCAAUUUCCUUUGCCAAACACAAUAUGGAAAGCUGUGCAUCCAUAACUCUCUAUUUCAUUUUAACCUUUAAAUGGACCUCCAAUUACAACUGUAAAAUUCUCACCUAGACAUUUUAUCAAUAUACGUCCAUUAUAAUAAUCCAUGAUAAACAAAUUUAAUUUUACUAUAUAACUGAAAUGGCUCUCUCCAGUUCUCAGGUUUAAGGGGAAUCUUGAGAAUUCAACACGCGGUUGAUGAAUUUUAUUUUUAUUUAUGUACUUAUUUAUGUUUUAGACAGGGUCUUGCUCUAGUGCCAAGGCGUCACCACGCCUGGAUAUUUUUUGUAUUUUUUUACAUUUGCUGUUGGUCAUGUUUGAAUAUGACAGAAAAGC
rnacentral:lncRNA from 1 species